UGGAAAUAUGGGAGCUUAAAGGCAACACGUCAGUUUGUCAAAGUACAAAGGAGGGCUCUCUUUGAGCAACAAGUUUCUUCAUUUUGUUUUUGGUCUAAAGACCGAAUUUUGGUUUGAAGAAAGCUGCUGGCAGCAAGCUCUGCAUCCAUUUAGCUUUGGCAAGUCUUUCUUCUUCUCUUUUGAAUUUUGUUUCCCUUUCAGCUUCUUUGUUUUUGGCUUAAGUUUGCUUUUGGGUUCUUCAACAGCCGCAACACAGGAGGCUUCUUAGCCUGAAAUUAGUGAGCCAUUUUCCUUUUGCUUUUUGCCUGAGACACUAAUUUGGAGUCUGGUUUUUGGUGUUGAGAGAAAAGAAAAAUCAUCUCUUUUUGAAUCUUGCUUGUGAUUUUGUUUUCAUCAUUUCCUUGAAGACUUGACUGCAUUUUUUUUGGUCCAAAGACAAUUUUGAGUUCUCUGCUUCCUUCCGGUCUCUUGGUAACAAUGGUAUGAUGCUUCGGUGCAUUUUUUUUUCAUUUGGUUGCAGAUUGAGAUCUUUUGGGAAGGGCUAUCAUAGUGCCAGUGACAGAGUGAGAACCCUUUGUGGUUUCUGCAAAUUGUUGCAGAGGAAUGCUGCUUUGGUGACCUUCGUGGGUGUGAAUCAUCAGUCUUUCACGUUUUGCUACCUGUUCUUUCUCCAAUCUGCAGAUUUGGAAUUUUG